CAUAAACAUAGCUUAUUCACAAAUCACACCCAACAAUGUUUGAAGUCUUUCAUAGAUAUCUAUUUCCCUCCCACUUGUGUUCAACAGAAGCUUUGAAGCUCAUGAUGGUGUGAGCAAUGGGAAAUACACUAUUGGACUUGGACAAGAUUGUAUGACAAUUUAUAGUGAGGUUGAAGAUGUUAUUUUAAUGAGGAGUGUGGUAAUACCAACAUUGAAGGUGAUGUAUCAACAGACGCUAUGGUGGAACGACAGCUUUGUUUAAUUGUGUGAAUUGGGUGGAGAAUAGUUCAUGGAAUGGACGCUAUGGACUUGUCAUUUGUACAGACAGUGCAGUAUGAGCUCCUAUACAUAUUGAACUUCUAUUUGCAAAAUCAAUAUUAUAUAAAGUUAUAUAAUAACUGUUAGAAUAUUUAAUCAGUUAAAGUUAACGCGAUAUUUUUCAGUUUUGACUUUUGAUCUAAGUUUGUGACGUUACUGUUGUCAACGAUGGCCUAAUUGUGGUUCGGCAUCUGAGUGGUGAAAGAUUCUUUAUAGUAUUCAAUGAUCAUGUAAUCUUGUAACAUACAGUGUUGAACAAAAUGUAUAUCAAACUCAAUAUGCUUGGUACGAGUAUUAAGUUCUAUUCAUA